CGUGAACGCUUUUUAGAAGUUGGAAUCUCGUAAUUACGGGAAUUCCGAUAUGGCGUGAACGCAGCAUUAGUUAAUCACUUGAUGGGUGUUUAUAUUCGCUUAACCAAAAUCAAAACAAGCAAACUACACAGUGCAACAGCGUCGUCAUACUUUUGUUGUAUUUGCUGGGUGAACAAGUGAACGCAAUAAACCCAGACUUGCAAAUAUUAGACAACAAGAUAUAGUCAACUAACUUGUGAAGAGCUUGAACAGUAUUUUCAGGACUGAUAUUUUCAGACGAGUGGGAAAUCAAAGACUGGAAUGCUGGGAGAACGCUGGGGAAACUGACAAAGGGGUGAGCUCUGGAAAGGAGGACGGAUACUUCCUGUUCCUGCUGGAGUGACCUGCAGGUCUGAGGAGGAGUGAGGGAGAGGAAGGCAGAGAAAGCGAUACCCUGUGAAACCUGCUGGUGUAAACUUACCUCUGAUUGGGACUCACUGAUGUAAUGGACAAACAAGCACAAAAUGUGUCGAUACCCACAUCAAAUCUCCCAGGUUUCUUUUACAGUGAUUUGCGUACAGCUUCACCCUUGGCCAGAGUGCAGUUGUGAAACUGGAAGUGACAGUGCCAGCAUCAGCACUCAGUCUCUUCACCGUCACGCCAGCAUUCCGGAUUUGUAUUCCUGGAUGCACAAACAGUGUGUAAUUAUCCCAGCCUCCCUGCUGUUCUUUCUCUCUGUCUCUCUCUCUCUCCCUCAUUCGAUCUCUGCAUAUCCCACACCGGAGAGACCGAGACCCAAGAUUAUUCUCUCUCUCUCGCUGUCGCUGUCACACAAGAGGAAAAGAGCUCCUCUCUUCAUUACAGAAGGACCUGAUCCAACUUGAAAGAUGCAGCCAUUAUUCUUGACUGUCUGGAC